rnacentral:rRNA from 1 species
CAAUGGGGGCAACCCUGAUCCAGCCAUGCCGCGUGAGUGAUGAAGGCCUUAGGGUCGUAAAGCUCUUUCGCCAGGGAUGAUAAUGACAGUACCUGGUAAAGAAACCCCGGCUAACUCCGUGCCAGCAGCCGCGGUAAUACGGAGGGGGUUAGCGUUGUUCGGAAUUACUGGGCGUAAAGCGCACGUAGGCGGAUCAGUCAGUUAGAGGUGAAAUCCCAGGGCUCAACCCUGGAACUGCCUUUGAUACUGCUAGUCUGGAGUUCGAGAGAGGUGAGUGGAAUUCCGAGUGUAGAGGUGAAAUUCGUAGAUAUUCGGAGGAACACCAGUGGCGAAGGCGGCUCACUGGCUCGAUACUGACGCUGAGGUGCGAAAGUGUGGGGAGCAAACAGGAUUAGAU